UAACACCGGUUCCCGUACGGUCAAAGCAGUUAAGCAACGUCGAGCCUGUUCAGUACCUAGAUGGGUGACCGCUUUGGAAUAACAGAUUCUGU